rnacentral:rRNA from 1 species
CCAGACUCCUACGGGAGGCAGCAGUAGGGAAUCUUCCACAAUGGACGAAAGUCUGAUGGAGCAACGCCGCGUGAGUGAAGAAGGGUUUCGGCUCGUAAAGCUCUGUUGGUAGUGAAGAAAGAUAGAGGUAGUAACUGGCCUUUAUUUGACGGUAAUUACUUAGAAAGUCACGGCUAACUCCGUGCCAGCAGCCGCGGUAAUACGGGGGAUGCAAGCGUUAUCCGGAUUUAUUGGGUUUAAAGGGUGCGUAGGCUGUGAGGUAAGUCAGCGGUGAAAUGCCCCCGCUCAACGGGGUGAAGUGCCAUUGAUACUGCCUUGCUGGAAUGCGGAUGCCGUGGGAGGAAUGUGUGGUGUAGCGGUGAAAUGCAUAGAUAUCACACAGAACACCGAUUGCGAAGGCAUCUCACGAAUCCGCGAUUGACGCUGAUGCACGAAAGCGUGGGUAUCAAACAGGAUUAGAUACCCGCGUAC